AUUGAACGCUGGCGGCAUGCCUUACACACGCAAGUCGAACGGCAGCGGGGGAGAAGCUUGCUUUUCCUGCCGGCGAGUGGCGAACGGGUGAGUAAUACAUCGGAACGUGCCCUGUAGUGGGGGAUAACUAGUCGAAAGAUUAGCUAAUACCGCAUACGACCUGAGGGUGAAAGUGGGGGACCGUAAGGCCUCAUGCUAUAGGAGCGGCCGAUGUCUGAUUAGCUAGUUGGUGGGGUAAAGGCCUACCAAGGCGACGAUCAGUAGCUGGUCUGAGAGGACGAUCAGCCACACUGGGACUGAGACACGGCCCAGACUCCUACGGGAGGCAGCAGUGGGGAAUUUUGGACAAUGGGCGAAAGCCUGAUCCAGCAAUGCCGCGUGUGUGAAGAAGGCCUUCGGGUUGUAAAGCACUUUUGUCCGGAAAGAAAUGGCUCUGGUUAAUACCUGGGGUCGAUGACGGUACCGGAAGAAUAAGGACCGGCUAACUACGUGCCAGCCGCCGCGGUAA
rnacentral:rRNA from 1 species